rnacentral:lncRNA from 1 species
CGUGGUGUGUUUGCAUACUGGGGACAGCCACUCCUGGCUUUCUAUUUCCAAGCUUCUUUGCUAGUGCCUGGUGGCUAGGAUCCUGACCGUGAGCCCCACCAUCAGUGUGGCUGACGCCGCCCCCAGAGCAGCCCCACGGCGGAUGACCAGCUGUUUCACUGAUAGUCUGCUGGUAGGAGCUGAAAGGGCGUGGGCCUCCUCUGGAGUCCUGAAGAAGUCCACGUGGCACUCAGACCUUGAAUACGUUGUCAAGGUAAUGCCAGGGGAACUGCCUGUAGCCACUGCGGAAGCAAACAGGAGCAAACUCAGCAGGUCAGGGGUCAGAGGGAGAGCUUUGGCCUUGGAAUCGGGAAACCUAGGUUAACCACCUGGCUGUGUUUGUUACACCUCACAAGGGACGAUGCCUAUACAGUAGAAAAAUAACUGCUUUAUCUACUUUACAAGCAAGAUCAGAGGAGGAGAUAUGCAGGAAAGCAUCUUAAACUGUGAAUUUCACGUGCAGAUAAUGCUUACUACUAGGAUCUCAUGAGGAGUGUUCUUGUCAACGCUUGGCCCUGUGAUGAUCUGUGGCUUCAAAAGCACGUGGGAAACACAAUUAAUCAUGUCUUACCGUAUUCUCUCAUGACAACUUACGCUCCCAGAGUUUUAGCUGGCUCACUACUGCCCUGAUCAAGGAUUAGCCCAGGAUGGAUGAGGUCAUGGAGACAUCAUCUGUGUGAGCUUUGGGCCAUGUGCACACACGCCUGGCACUCAGGACCAGCCCUGGGGCAGAGCUGGGGCCAUCACUUCAUGACAUGGACACUGGGCACAAACCAGAGAGAUGUUUGUCUGCCUGAUGGGGUGGAGAGAGGUAGAUAGCAGGUGCCCCCCCAAAGCCAAUGAGUCAAGCCAGGCUGGCUGACAAGCCAGGCUCCCCACAAGUUAAAAGUUGGCCUUCCGUCUUGAGCAGAGUUCAGUGGGGGAGAUCAUGGGCUCUUGAAUCUGACGGGUUGAUGCGCAGAUCUUAUGUCUGGCCUUUACAAGUUGUGGGAUGAGGGAGGAAAUACCUAAGUUCUUUCAGCCUCACUUCCUCAUCUGAAAAUGGGCAUACAUCUAGUUGCCUCUCAAGGCCAAAGACUUGGUGUGGGGCCUGGUACUUGCAUGCCUGCUAGACAAUAGAUGUUGUUGUCUUCCUGGUGCUUAGGACAUCAUUUUCAUAAUAAUGGGAAGAAAAAUAGCUUGGGCUUGUACAAUUUCCAAUUGCAUGAGGCACAGAGGGCAGACAAGAGCAACAUGCCACUGACAUUUAUAUGUGUACCAAAGUAGAAGCAGCGGUGACAGUAUUACCUGAAGAUAGGACUGCUUUCUCAGGCCCAGGUCUGGUUGCAGUGCUCUCUGCUCUCUGCUGCUGCUGCCGGCCUGAAUGUUUCUUAGCCUAAAGGAGAAAGAACUCAAUUGGGUCAACCUGCCAGCUCAACAGUUCACCCCUUCACUGCUAGCCUCGCAUUCUCUGUUUUUAAAACAUUGCAAGCUGAAGCAGCAUAUAUGCAUGUAUUCAUAGUCAUGGGGCUUUUAGAAAGUAUCAUUUUAAGGCUGGGCAUGGUGGCUCACACCUGUAAUCCCAGCACUUUGGGAGGCCGAGGCGGGUGGAUUGCUGGAGCUCAGGAAUUCAAGGCCAGUCUGGGCAAUAUAGUGAAACCCUGUCUCUACCAAAAAUACUAAAAAAUUAGCUGGGCAUGGUGGCGCAUGUCUGUAGUCCCAGCUACUCAGGAGGCUGAGGCAGGAGAACCUCUUGACCCCAGGAGGCAGAGGUUGCAUUGAGCCGAGAUUGUACCACUGCAUUCCAUCCUGGG